AUUGAACGCUGGCGGCAUGCUUUACACAUGCAAGUCGAACGGUAACAGGCCUUCUGGUGCUGACGAGUGGCGAACGGGUGAGUAAUGCAUCGGAACGUACCCAGAGGUGGGGGAUAACGCAGCGAAAGCUGUGCUAAUACCGCAUGUGAUCUGAGGAUGAAAGCGGGGGACCGAGCAGCAAUGUUUGGACUCGCGCCUUUGGAGCUGCCGAUGUCGGAUUAGCUAGUUGGUGGGGUAAAGGCCUACCAAGGCGACGAUCCGUAGCUGGUCUGAGAGGACGACCAGCCACACUGGGACUGAGACACGGCCCAGACUCCUACGGGAGGCAGCAGUGGGGAAUUUUGGACAAUGGGCGCAAGCCUGAUCCAGCAAUGCCGCGUGCGGGAAGAAGGCCUUCGGGUUGUAAACCGCUUUUGGCAGGAACGAAACGGUGUCCGCUAAUACCGGGCGCUAAUGACGGUACCUGCAGAAUAAGCACCGGCUAACUACGUG
rnacentral:rRNA from 1 species